rnacentral:rRNA from 1 species
AUUGAACGCUAGCGGCAGGCCUAACACAUGCAAGUCGAACGAGUGGCGGACGGGUGAGUAAUGUAUGGGAAACUGCCUGAUGGCGGGGGAUAACUACUGGAAACGGUAGCUAAUACCGCAUACCAUCAGAUGUGCCCAGAUGGGAUUAGCUAGUUGGUGGGGUAACGGCUCACCAAGGCGACGAUCCCUAGCUGGUUUGAGAGGAUGACCAGCCACACUGGAACUGAGACACGGCCCAGACUCCUACGGGAGGCAGCAGUGGGGAAUUUUGCACAAUGGGGGAAAGCCUGAUGCAGCCAUGCCGCGUGUAUGAUGAAGGCCUUCGGGUUGUAAAGUACUUUCAGCGGGGAGGCGGUACCUGCAGAAGAAGCACCGGCUAACUACGUGCCAGCAGCCGCGGUAAUAC